GAUGAAGAACGCAGCGAAGUGCGAUAAGUAAUGUGAAUUGCAGAAUUCAGUGAAUCAUCGAAUCUUUGAACGCACAUUGCGCCCAUUAGUAUUCUAGUGGGCAUGCCUGUUCGAGCGUCAUUAAGUCCACUUAAGCCCUGCUUAGUGUUGGGAGACUGCUCCAGCGGUGCUACCCUGUAGCUACCCUGCAGCUCCUCAAAGACAGCGGCGGAGUUGUGGUAUCCUCUGAGCUUAGUAACUUGUUCUAGCUUUCGAGUACACCACUUCCCCUGCCGUAAAACCCUUAAUUUUUAAUGGUUGACCUCGGAUCAGGUAGGAAUACCCGCUGAACUUAAGCAUAUCAAUAAGCGGAGGA
rnacentral:misc_RNA from 1 species